UUCCCCUAGUAACGGCGAGUGAAGAGGGAAAAGCUCAAAUUUGAAAUCUGGCAGUCUUGCGGCUGUCCGAGUUGUAAUCUAGAGAAGUGUUUUCCGUGCUGGACCGUGUACAAGUCCUUUGGAACAAGGCGUCAUAGAGGGUGAGAAUCCCGUCUACGACACGGACUCCCAGUGCUCUGUGAUACACUCUCAACGAGUCGAGUUGUUUGGGAAUGCAGCUCAAAAUGGGUGGUAAAUUCCAUCUAAAGCUAAAUAUAGGCGAAAGACCGAUAGCGAACAAGUACCGUGAGGGAAAGAUGAAAAGCACUUUGGAAAGAGAGUUAAACAGUACGUGAAAUUGUUGAAAGGGAAACGCUUGAAGUCAGUCGCGUCUUCAGAAACUCAGCCUGGCUUUUGCCUGGUGUACUUUUCUGUUGGACGGGCCAGCAUCAGUUUCGGCCGCCAGAAAAAGGUGGGAGGAAGGUGGCACCCUCGGGUGUGUUAUAGCCUCUCAUCGUAUGUGGCGGCUGGGACUGAGGAAUGCAGCACGCCUUCAAUGGCCGGGGUUCGCCCACGUAACGUGCUUAGGAUGCUGGCGUAAUGGCUUUAAACGACCCGUCUUGAAACACGGACCAAGGAGUCUAACAUGCCUGCGAGUAUUUGGGUGGUAAACCCAUAUGCGGAAUGAAAGUGAACAGUUGGGACUUCUGUCAUGGAAGGCACCGACGCCCGGACCAGACCUACUGUGACGGAUCCGAGGUAGAGCAUGUAUGUUGGGACCCGAAAGAUGGUGAACUAUGCCUGAGUAGGGUGAAGCCAGAGGAAACUCUGGUGGAGGCUCGUAGCGAUUCUGACGUGCAAAUCGAUCGUCGAACUUGGGUAUAGGGGCGAAAGACUAAUCG
rnacentral:rRNA from 2 species